CUGAAGAACACACCGUUGCAACAAAACUAAAAAGAUACAUGGAUGCACAUGCCCACUAACUCCACGGUGCAGCACAUUUCUUAAAUUCUGCUAGACACUGAAAACAUACAAUGAUGAAAAUAUGGUCACUACAUCUGCUCUACGGUCAACCUGGAAUUCAGACACAUAAAUAAUUAAUAUAAUGAGUAAGGGGAUCGUAACCCUUGGCUUGGUGUUGCCCGCACCACGCUCGGCCAGUGAGCGCACCCGCCAUGCCCAUAUAGGAUCUGAACCCGUGGCCUCAGUGCUCCCAGCACCGCACUCUCCCAAGUGAGCCGCGGGGCCGGC